UUUACCCUCCCGUGGAUGUAGACACUCCGAUGUCGAACCACGUAAAUUAUGGUUGUGUGAAACUAUUGUUAUUUAUUUAUUUAAAUUCAUCUUCUACUUGCUGUUUUAUGGUUUAGAACUAGAUCCAAUGAUCUUGUUCGUUUGGUUGUUGCUACUAGAAUAAUGGUAGUAACAAUUAAGCCGUGUUAGUAUGAACUGCAUGUUUUCUAUAAUAAAAUCUCUAUUUCCCCAAUAAGAGUUAUGGUGGUUUCCUACUUAAUGAGAGUAAUAUUAGAUCAGCUGAUUCCAGUUGUGAACAGGACGUGAAGAUGUACUCUUUGAGAGACAGAUUACCUGGCCCGUACUUAAUUUUCAAUCCUCAAUUUUCUUCGAUCCUCAAUUUUUCAAUGACCCCACCCAUGCGUAUCUUCUCUGGGGUCGUUUGCAUUACUAUCAGAGAUUAUGAAUUCCGCCCCAUAAUUUGUACAUUGAAGGUCUCGUAUCAUAUUAUUAUAUAUAUGAUGUGUGUUUUUUUAUCCUAUGGAGUCGUAAACAUCUCCAACCAGCCGUUUUAAGACUCAUGGCUAGCCGGCAAGGAUAAUAAAGGGUGGUUUCCUUUUUCUUUGUUCGACACGACUUUCGUUUUCUAGUUAAAUUGGUUUUUUUUUAACCAAUUAUACGUUGUCAAAUGUCUUCACCGAAUCUCUCGUUUCACAAAACUCAAAAAAGCUUUGUUUCGACCAAUAGGAAGCAAGGGUUUCCUCACCAUUCAACGUGGGAGCACUACACCAUUUUUCCGGAAUCGCAACUAAAAUUCGUAACGGCCCAGCAGCCGUUACAAAGUUUCCUGUUGCCGUUACGAAAGUUUUUCCAGAUGCGUAACAGGGGUAGCUGUUACGAAUCAUAACAUGCUAAUUUUUAACGUGUGCUAAUCACACGCUCGGUCACACUAGAGCCGGUAACAUGGGUUUAUUUUGUGCGUGUCAUUCAGCUGUGUGCCGUUUUUUCCCACCCAACUUUGCUUUUGCUAGAGGAUAAUUCCUCCCCUGAAGAGAUAAGGGAUAUGUCAUCCAAUACCAUCGACUAAGCUCACCAUUUCUCUUUUCCCUUUCUCUCUAUCUUUUCUCUUCUCAUCUCCUCCCCUGCAGAGAUUGGGGUUUAACCAGUUUCGAUCUGUUAAUUCAAUCAUAUGAUAAAUCGAUCAAAGAGACUAGAGAUUAGAGUCUUACAACAGUUUCGAUCUGUUAUUUCAAUUAUAAUUUUUUUCGAUUUGGGGUUUUCAUUAAUCGUGUUAAUUCAAUCGUCUGUUUUCUUUUCAUUAGGGUUUUUCAUUUUAGGGUUUUUUUUUAUCUGAUAAAGCUUAUAUGAUUUCUUUUUCUGAAAUCAUUUUUAGAGUUUCAUCUGUUGAAGAACUUGAGAGGGUUUGAAAGAUUGAAGAACUUUGAAGAACUAAAGUUGAAGAUGGAUACAUGCUUCCAUGUCUUAUCAAUACUUAGAUGCCGACCACUCCGCAUUUGAAGACUCGUCUUCCUAUUACAAUUGCUGCUAGCUUUGCAGCAGCACUGUUAGUGAU